GAUGAACCGCUGGCGGUCUGCUUAACACAUGCAAGUCGAACGAACUCUUCGGAGUGAGUGGCGGACGGGUGAGUAACGCGUGAGAAUCUGCCUGUGGGUCGGGGACAACCACUGGAAACGGUGGCUAAUACCGGAUGAGCCGAAAGGUAAAAAAUUUAUUGCCCACAGAUGAGCUCGCGUCUGAUUAGCUAGUUGGUAAGGUAAAAGCGUACCAAGGCGACGAUCAGUAGCUGGUCUGAGAGGAUGAGCAGCCACACUGGGACUGAGACACGGCCCAGACUCCUACGGGAGGCAGCAGUGGGGAAUUUUCCGCAAUGGGCGAAAGCCUGACGGAGCAAGACCGCGUGGGGGAGGAAGGUUUUUGGAUCGUAAACCCCUUUUGUCAAGGAAGAAGUUCUGACGGUACUUGACGAAUAAGCCUCGGCUAACUCCGUGCCAGCAGCCGCGGUAAUACGGAGGAGGCAAGCGUUAUCCGGAAUGAUUGGGCGUAAAGCGUCUGUAGGUGGCCAGCUAAGUCUGCUGUUAAAGAUCACAGCUCAACUGUGGGAAGGCAGUGGAAACUGGCAAGCUAGAGGCUGGUAGGGGUAAAGGGAAUUCCCGGUGUAGCGGUGAAAUGCCGUA
rnacentral:rRNA from 1 species